rnacentral:lncRNA from 1 species
GCUGGACUAGAUGAUGGAGCAGAAAGGAGGGACGCGGACGGUGGGUUUAUGGGCUCUAACCUCUCCUUGUUUUAGGGUAUUAUGAAGAGUGAACGUUCCUGCUCACAAACCUUGCAGAGUUUCCAUCACCGAAGCUUAUUUUUCCCCCCGAACCAGGAGCCGUUUGAGGUUUAUGCAUUGUACUUGGUUCCUUGUCUCUUUGGUCUCAUUUAAUCUGGAACAGUGCUCCCACCUUUUUUCCUCAUGACGCUGACAUUCUGAAGAAUCCAGCGUUAAAAUGUCAGGGCCAGCCCUGUAGCUGCGUGUUUGAAGUUCCACGCACUCAGCUUCGGUGGCCCAGGUUGGUGGGCUUGGAUCCCCGACACGGACCUACACCACUCGUCAGCCAUGCUGUGGAGGCGUCCCGCAUACAACGUGGAGGAAGAUUGGCAUGGAUAUUGGCUUGAGGCUGGACUUCCUCAAGCAAAGAAAAAAAAGAGGAAGAUUGGCAACGGAUGUCAGCUCAGGGCAAAUCUUCC